UACGUAGGGGGCGAGCGUUAUCCGGAUUCAUUGGGCGUAAAGCGCGCGUAGGCGGCCGCCUAAGCGGAACCUCUAACCCCGGGGCUCAACCUCGGGCCGGGUUCCGGACUGGGCGGCUCGAGUGCGGUAGAGGAGAGCGGAAUUCCCGGUGUAGCGGUGGAAUGCGCAGAUAUCGGGAAGAACACCGAUGGCGAAGGCAGCUCUCUGGGCCGUCACUGACGCUGAGGCGCGAAAGCUGGGGGAGCGAAAGGG
rnacentral:rRNA from 1 species